rnacentral:lncRNA from 1 species
AUUUUAAAAUUGAGAUUAGAAUUAUUGAAUAUGAUUAGACUAUCUAAAAAAUCUAUAUAUAUAAAUAUAUAAAUAUCUAAACUGGACUGGAAUACUAUUAAUAGCACCAAUGACUUGGUGCUAUUAAAUUUUCUAUCAUUGGAUUAAAAGAUGUGUGGUUAGAAUGAUGUAGACCCUCUAGGAUUGAGUGGGUGAUUGGUUGAAUAGUAUAAUCGAACGGAUGAAAAUGAUAAAAGAGUUAAAUCUAACAGCAGAAAAUUUGAUAACACCAAACGCUUUGUGCGAUCGAUGAUAUCUCAGUCGAACUCUAUAUAUCUGAGAAUUUCCUUUAUUGAAUUAGAUCAUGAAUUUUAUAUUAUUUGCUGAUUACCAUACAGAUUAUCAGAACUUACAAACUGUUUUAUAAAAAUCU